GGCGAUCCCCCUCGCCACCGGCGAUCCAAUUGCUCCGGCCGCCUCCGCCUCUCCCGGCCAUGUGACAAUGCCCGCCACGGACUACCAGGGCUCCUCCGCGCCGUUCGCCUCGAUCGGCCGCUCCAUCCUCAGCAUCCGCCGUGACCAGUUCCAUCCCUCCGACCACGACGGCGGCUCCGGCCUCGAGGUCGAGCUGGAGUCGUUCCAGAAACAGGUCGCCGACCUCUUCCUCG
rnacentral:misc_RNA from 1 species